AUUGAACGCUGGCGGCAUGCCUUACACAUGCAAGUCGAACGGUAACAGGUCUUCGGAUGCUGACGAGUGGCGAACGGGUGAGUAAUACAUCGGAACGUGCCCGAGAGUGGGGGAUAACGAGGCGAAAGCUUUGCUAAUACCGCAUACGAUCUCAGGAUGAAAGCAGGGGACCGCAAGGCCUUGCGCUCACGGAGCGGCCGAUGGCAGAUUAGGUAGUUGGUGGGAUAAAAGCUUACCAAGCCGACGAUCUGUAGCUGGUCUGAGAGGACGACCAGCCACACUGGGACUGAGACACGGCCCAGACUCCUACGGGAGGCAGCAGUGGGGAAUUUUGGACAAUGGGCGCAAGCCUGAUCCAGCCAUGCCGCGUGCAGGAUGAAAGCCUUCGGGUUGUAAACUGCUUUUGUACGGAACGAAAAGACUCUGGUUAAUACCUGGGGUCCAUGACGGUGCCGUAAGAAUAAGCACCGGCUAACUACGUGCCAGCAGCCGCGGUAACAC
rnacentral:rRNA from 1 species